UGGUAUCAUACGCAGAGUACUGAAGUUAAUUAGGAUUUUUAUCUUCUUUAAUUUGUAUUAUUGGUAAUUAAUGCACUGUUUGUACGGCAGAAUUACUUGACAAUUUUAUUUACGUAAAACUCGUACAAUGAAUCAAUAAUUUCCAGCACAAGGUUGUAUGUGUGUGAAACAUUUGCCUUAUUAUAAAAGCUGUAAUAUUUCAUAAUUGUAUGUUAAAACUAAUAAUUUUGUAUGAGUAACGCUCUUCAAACCAAGUGACAAGUAGAACGAGAUCAAAC